UUCCUAUAGCUUAAACAUCAACAAAGCAUAUCCCUGAAGAAGAUAAAACUCCAGGAAGUAAU
rnacentral:tRNA from 1 species